rnacentral:snRNA from 1 species
GUACUUACUUCAGCAACACAAAUGCUAAGAUUGGAACAAUACAGAGAAAAUUAGCAUGGUCUCUGCACAAG